rnacentral:rRNA from 1 species
AACGCUGGCGGCGUGCUUAACACAUGCAAGUCGAACGAACCUUCGGGUUAGUGGCGGACGGGUGAGUAACGCGUGAGAAUCUGCCCUCAGGAGGGGGAUAACAGCUGGAAACGGCUGCUAAUACCCCAUAUGCCGCGAGGUGAAAUGAAUUUCGCCUGAGGAUGAGCUCGCGUCUGAUUAGCUAGUUGGUGUAGGUAAUGGCUCACCAAGGCAUCGAUCAGUAGCUGGUCUGAGAGGAUGAUCAGCCACACUGGGACUGAGACACGGCCCAGACUCCUACGGGAGGCAGCAGUGGGGAAUUUUCCGCAAUGGGCGAAAGCCUGACGGAGCAACGCCGCGUGAGGGAUGAAGGCCUCUGGGCUGUAAACCUCUUUUAUCAAGGAAGAAGAUCUGACGGUACUUGAUGAAUAAGCCACGGCUAAU